rnacentral:rRNA from 1 species
GACGAACGCUGGCGGCGUGCCUAAUACAUGCAAGUCGAACGCAGUGGGGACGGGUGAGUAACACGUGGGUAACCUCCCAUCAGAGGGGAUAACACUUGGAAACAGGUGCUAAACCGAUACUGAUGGAUGGACCCGCGGUGCAUUAGCUAGUUGGGGAGGUAACGGCUCAACAAGGCCACGAUGCAUAGCUGAGCUGAGAGGGUGAUCAUCCAAACUGGGACUUAGAAAGGGCCCAGACGCCGACGGGAGGCAGCAGUGGGGAAUCUGCGGCAAUGGCCGAAAGUCUGACCGAGCAACGCCGCGUGAGUGAAGAAGGUUUUCGGAUCGUAAAACUCUGUUGUUAGAGAAGCGGUAUCUAACCAGAAAGCCACGGCUAACUACGUGCCAGCAGCCGCGGUAAUUC